AAAAUGUCACGUUUCCACUGUAGUCAUUGUACAUGCUUUGGCACCGUUAAAUAUAUGGGACAUCGACGAUAGCAUCAUCGACACUGGUGAACUGGUUCUCACAUCGAAACUUCAUAAAAUUAUCGAAUAGCCUAAAUUGAAAGUUAGUUCGAGUUUUCUACAUACGUUAUUGACAACAUGUCAGGGCCAGUUGGAAGCGAGGUUGGAGAGCUUAUGCUUCUCGCCAAUUUGGCGGAAGUGGAAAGAAUUAAGGACAAGACACGCUUGAUUAUCGUAGUAGUCGAGACGAUCAUCGCGAUCAUCAUCACAGUGGUAGUGAUAGCGAUGAUGAAGAAAGACAAGAAUUUUAAGGAUUCGACUGGCGCAACGACGAGGGUGGUGAUGGUAAAGUCUUUUGUAUAACAGAAGAGGGCUCAUCAGGAAUGAUUUUUUAAAAAUACAACGCGGCAGUCCGUAUAAUUGUCGUUGAUUUAAUAAAAUAAUUACUCACAAGAGAA